UCAAGUAAUUAAGUGCAUGUGGUGGAUGCCUUGGCAGUCAGAGGCGAUGAAAGACGUGAUAGCCUGCGAAAAGCUCCGGGGAGGCGGCAAAUAUCCUUUGAUCCGGAGAUGUCUGAAUGGGGGAACCCACCUACUUUAAGGUAGGUAUUGCAACAUGAAUACAUAGUGUUGCAAGGCGAACGAGGGGAAGUGAAACAUCUCAGUACCCUUAGGAAAAGAAAUCAAUUGAGAUUCCCUCAGUAGCGGCGAGCGAACGGGGAUCAGCCCAUUAAGUUAUGUGUGUUUUAGUGGAACGCUCUGGGAAGUGCGAACGUAGAGGGUGAUAUUCCCGUACACGAAAGGGCACACAUAAUGAUGACGAGUAGGGCGAGGCACGUGAAACCUUGUCUGAAUAUGGGGGGACCAUCCUCCAAGGCUAAAUACUCCUGACUGACCGAUAGUGAACCAGUACCGUGAGGGAAAGGCGAAAAGAACCCCUGUGAGGGGAGUGAAAUAGAUCCUGAAACCGCAUGCAUACAAGCAGUGGGAGCACCUUCGUGGUAUGACUGCGUACCUUUUGUAUAAUGGGUCAGCGACUUAUAUUCAGUAGCGAGGUUAACCGUAUAGGGGAGCCGUAGAGAAAUCGAGUCUUAAUAGGGCGUUUAGUUGCUGGGUAUAGACCCGAAACCAGGCGAUCUAUCCAUGAGCAGGUUGAAGGUUGGGUAACACUAACUGGAGGACCGAACCCACUGUCGUUGAAAAGCCAGGGGAUGACUUGUGGAUAGGGGUGAAAGGCUAAUCAAGCCUGGUGAUAGCUGGUUCUCCCCGAAAGCUAUUUAGGUAGCGCCUCGGACGAAUACCAUAGGGGGUAGAGCACUGUUUCGGCUAGGGGGUCAUCCCGACUUACCAAACCGAUGCAAACUCCGAAUACCUAUGAGUACUAUCCGGGAGACAGACUGCGGGUGCUAACGUCCGUAGUCAAGAGGAAAACAAUCCAGACCGCCAGCUAAGGCCCCAAAAUCAUAGUUAAGUGGGAAACGAUGUGGGAAGGCAUAGACAGCUAGGAGGUUGGCUUAGAAGCAGCCACCCUUUAAAGAAAGCGUAAUAGCUCACUAGUCGAGUCGGCCUGCGCGGAAGAUGUAACGGGGCUAAAACUAUGUGCCGAAGCUGCGGAUGUAUACUUUGUAUACGUGGUAGGGGAGCGUUCUGUAAGCCGAUGAAGGUGUGUUGAGAAGCAUGCUGGAGGUAUCAGAAGUGCGAAUGCUGACGUGAGUAACGACAAAACGGGUGAAAAACCCGUUCGCCGAAAGACCAAGGGUUCCAGUCCAACGUUAAUCGGGGCUGGGUGAGUCGACCCCUAAGGCGAGGCCGAAAGGCGUAGUCGAUGGGAAAAUGGUUAAUAUUCCAUUACUUCUGUGUAAUGCGAUGAGAGGACGGAGAAGGCUAAAUCAGCCUGGCGUUGGUUGUCCAGGUGAAAGGAUGUAGGCAUGUAUCUUAGGCAAAUCCGGGGUACUCUAUGCUGAGAUCUGAUAGCAAGCUGUACUUGUACAGCGAAGUGGUUGAUGCCAUGCUUCCAGGAAAAGUCUCUAAGCUUCAGUUACACAGGAAUCGUACCCGAAACCGACACAGGUGGUCAGGUCGAGUAGACCAAGGCGCUUGAGAGAACUCUGCUGAAGGAACUAGGCAAAAUGGUACCGUAACUUCGGGAGAAGGUACGCUGUUGUUGGUGAUGGAACUCGCUUCCUGAGCUGACGACAGCCGCAGAAACCAGGCCGCUGCAACUGUUUAUUAAAAACAUAGCACUCUGCAAACACGAAAGUGGACGUAUAGGGUGUGAUGCCUGCCCGGUGCUGGAAGGUUAAUUGAUGGGGUUAGCGUAAGCGAAGCUCUUGAUCGAAGCCCCAGUAAACGGCGGCCGUAACUAUAACGGUCCUAAGGUAGCGAAAUUCCUUGUCGGGUAAGUUCCGACCUGCACGAAUGGCAUAAUGAUGGCGGCGCUGUCUCCAGCAGAGGCUCAGUGAAAUCGAAAUCGCUGUGAAGAUGCAGUGUACCCGCGGCUAGACGGAAAGACCCCGUGAACCUUUACUGCAGCUUGACACUGAACUUUGACCUUACUUGUGUAGGAUAGGUGGGAGGCUUUGAAGCUGGAACGCUAGUUCCAGUGGAGCCGUCCUUGAAAUACCACCCUGGUAAUGUUGAGGUUCUAACUCUGUCCCGUGAUCCGGGACGAGGACCGUGUCUGGUGGGUAGUUUGACUGGGGCGGUCUCCUCCUAAAGAGUAACGGAGGAGUACGAAGGUGCGCUCAGCGUGGUCGGAAAUCACGCGUAGAGUAUAAAGGCAAAAGCGCGCUUAACUGCGAGACCCACAAGUCGAGCAGGUACGAAAGUAGGUCUUAGUGAUCCGGUGGUUCUGUAUGGAAGGGCCAUCGCUCAACGGAUAAAAGGUACUCUGGGGAUAACAGGCUGAUACCGCCCAAGAGUUCAUAUCGACGGCGGUGUUUGGCACCUCGAUGUCGGCUCAUCUCAUCCUGGGGCUGAAGCAGGUCCCAAGGGUAUGGCUGUUCGCCAUUUAAAGAGGUACGCGAGCUGGGUUUAGAACGUCGUGAGACAGUUCGGUCCCUAUCUACCGUGGGCGCUGGAAAUUUGAGAGGAUCUGCUCCUAGUACGAGAGGACCAGAGUGGACGAACCUCUGGUGUACCGGUUGUGACGCCAGUCGCAUCGCCGGGUAGCUAUGUUCGGAAGGGAUAACCGCUGAAAGCAUCUAAGCGGGAAGCCUACCUCAAGAUAAGAUUUCCCUAGGACUUUAUGUCCUCUAAAGAGCCGUUCGAGACUAGGACGUUGAUAGGUUGGAUGUGGAAGCAUAGUGAUAUGUGAAGCUGACCAAUACUAAUUGCUCGUGAGGCUUGACUAU
rnacentral:rRNA from 1 species